rnacentral:lncRNA from 1 species
UUACUUAAGCUAGCUGAAAUAGCCUUAGCCAUUCAUGUUUAGGGUGAAUCGGUCUUAGAUUCUUUGGUUAACAGAGACUGCCUUAGUUUCUAUUAUUUUUUUGGGGUUGACUUAGUUGUUCAUGUUUGGGGAGGAUUACUAUCUUAGGGCUAGUUUUGGCUUACUUGACAUUUAGAAAUGAACUUAGAUACCUUGGCCUUGUGCAUGGUAGAAGUUGACUAAAAUGGAUUU